rnacentral:rRNA from 1 species
ACUCAAAUGAAUUGACGGGGGCCCGCACAAGCGGUGGAGCAUGUGGUUUAAUUCGACGCAACGCGCAGAACCUUACCAGGGUUUGACAUCCUGUGCUCGACUCCGAAAGGGGUUUUCCCCGCAAGGGGCGCAGAGACAGGUGCUGCAUGGCUGUCGUCAGCUCGUGUCGUGAGAUGUUGGGUUAAGUCCCGCAACGAGCGCAACCCUCGCCUUUAGUUGCCAUCAUUCAGUUGGGCACUCUAGAGGGACCGCCGGCGACAAGCCGGAGGAAGGUGGGGAUGACGUCAAGUCCUCAUGGCCCUUACACCCUGGGCUACACACGUGCUACAAUGGCGGUGACAGUGGGCAGCUAACUCGCGAGAGCAAGCUAAUCCCAAAAAACCGUCCCAGUUCAGAUUGCACUCUGCAACUCGGGUGCAUGAAGGUGGAAUCGCUAGUAAUCGCAGAACAGCAGGCUGCGGUGAAUACGUUCCCGGGCCUUGUACACACCGCCCGU